GCAUAUCAAUAAGCGGAGGAAAAGAAACCAACAGGGAUUGCCCUAGUAACGGCGAGUGAAGCGGCAACAGCUCAAAUUUGAAAUCUGGCUCUCGGGCCCGAGUUGUAAUUUGUAGAGGAUGUUUUUGAUGCGGUGCCUUCCGAGUUCCCUGGAACGGGACGCCAUAGAGGGUGAGAGCCCCGUCUGGUUGGAUGCCAAAUCUCUGUAAAACUCCUUCAACGAGUCGAGUAGUUUGGGAAUGCUGCUCUAAAUGGGAGGUAUAUGUCUUCUAAAGCUAAAUACCGGCCAGAGACCGAUAGCGCACAAGUAGAGUGAUCGAAAGAUGAAAAGCACUUUGAAAAGAGAGUUAAAAAGUACGUGAAAUUGUUGAAAGGGAAGCGUUUAUGACCAGACUUGGGCUUGGUUAAUCAUCUGGGGUUCUCCCCAGUGCACUUCUCCAGCUCAGGCCAGCAUCAGUUUUCCCCGGGGGAUAAAGGCUUUGGGAAUGUGGCUCCCUUCGGGGAGUGUUAUAGCCCAUUGUGUAAUACCCUGGGGGGGACUGAGGUUCGCGCAUCUGCAAGGAUGCUGGCGUAAUGGUCAUCAAUGACCCGUCUUGAAACACGGACCAAGGAGUCGUCUUCGUAUGCGAGUGUUCGGGUGUCAAACCCCUACGCGUAAUGAAAGUGAACGCAGGUGAGAGCUUCGGCGCAUCAUCGACCGAUCCUGAUGUUCUCGGAUGGAUUUGAGUAAGAGCAUACGGGGCCGGACCCGAAAGAAGGUGAACUAUGCCUGUAUAGGGUGAAGCCAGAGGAAACUCUGGUGGAGGCUCGCAGCGGUUCUGACGUGCAAAUCGAUCGUCAAAUAUGGGCAUGGGGGCGAAAGACUAAUCGAACCUUCUAGUAGCUGGUUUCCGCCGA
rnacentral:rRNA from 1 species